AAAAUCUGUUAUUUUUCACACUUUUUUUGGUUCAAAUAACACACAAAAUGUAUUCUGGGAACGUCGUAAAGCAACCCCACGAUGUAUAUAACUUUGUUAAACUACUAUGAGAGGUAAAAGGCAAGUGAAACCUCAAUAGUGCUAUGGCCACUUCUAAAGCUGUACAACUUCAGUUCUCACAAAACCCAAAACAGAAAUCUGUGACUACUGACCGACUAAUGAUCCUAAUAGAGCCGCAAAAAUUGGUUUCUCUGUGGAGCCUGGAAAGGGGCCGGGGAGAGUAGCAGGGACCUUCGGCUUGCAGUGUGACACUAGAUGAGCAUAUAAUUCCCGAAAUUCGUCUGAUCUGUAGGGUAGUUGACACCAGAGUUCUUGAAAUCUUUGCUUCAAAAUCAGCUCGAGUUGUCAAAAAUAACCUUGGAUAUUAGGGGUUUGGCGUUUGCUUCCCACUCUGUUGCCCAAUUAACAGAAGAUCUGCUUGCCAAUACUCCCUGUCUCAGCGACUUCAACUCAUCACAUUCACCUGGGAAUCCCUUAAACAGCGUCACAAAUUGAUCAGCCAGUUCCGAGGAUGAAGAGAAGAGUAGGCCAUUCUUGUCAACUUCGACCAGCUCGUUGAUACAAGAGUAGGAAACAGCACAGACUGGUAAUCCACAGCCAAACAUAUCCACAACCUUCAUUGGAAGAUCCAACCCUGAAGAGGACGUAUGCAAGCAAACACCAAGAUCUGCUGAUCCAAGAAGCAAUGGGUAAUCCUCUGGCUCUAACCACAUAGUACGAAAUGCUACACGUUUAAGGUUGAGUUUUGCCAUCUUUUGUUCAUAUUUUUCCUUUUCAGGCCCUUUACCUGUAAUUAUAAAUAAUAAUCUAGGGUAUUGCUUCCCACCCUUGAUUUCCUGCCAGAAAACAUCCUCCCUCUUCAAGUCAUCCUCGUUCAGCAAUGCAGAAACCCUUCUAUCAUACAUUAGUGCUGCUUCUAAGAGAAUGCUAAAAUCUUCAUCCGGAGUCCAGCUUGUACUGCUUACAAUGAGCGCUGGUCUGUUCCACUUCAAGGAAAUAUCUGUGCCAGUCUGAGUUGUAAAUAGAGUUACAUUAGGGUUGUCAUCGUCUGGUGUUAGUUCCUCAUUGCUAAGACAGUCUUGAAGGCUGUAAGGUGUUCUCAGACUCUUAUCAAUCCCACAAAACAACUUGUGCUUCUCCUCCAGGGAAGCAGGUUGAAAAAAAUCAGGAGGUUGAUCAUAUAGAACAGUGGCACUGAUUCCCCAGUUUUGAGACAAUUCAUGUUGCAUUGCCUUUGUCACACAUAAGGAACCAUUAGCCAUUUUCCCAAAAUGCUUCUCAAUCCAAUGAUAUAAAGCCACAAACCGACUAUUCCUCCCGAGAGACAAUGCUAGAAGAGUAUAUCCAAAGUUAUGCCAAUCUAUAAUGAACGCAGAACGUCUAAUCCAACUGGCCAAUUUUACAGCAACCAGUGUAGGAACAGAUGGUGGAUUCUGAACUAUGAAAACAUCCGGCUUAGGAAUUUUAACACAGAGAUACCAUAGGAGCAUAAAAAACUGGACCAGUGGCUUAAGUAUGAGCAAUAAAGGAUGGAGUAUCUUUGGAAAACUUCUGGGGUUUGAU
rnacentral:misc_RNA from 1 species